CAGGCUCCAGGCUCUGAGCUGUCAGCACAGAGCCCUAUGCAGGGCUCGAACUCACAGACUGCGAGAUCAUGACCUGAGCUGAAGUCGGACGCUCAACCAACUAAGCCCCCCAGGCGUCCCACAAACAAACUUUCUGUAAUUUUGGGUUCAAAGGGUAAUAAAGAUGGAAAUCACAAUCAUUUUCAAGUCCGUACCGCUAAAAGCACUAUCUGCGUCAGCUCACACGGGCUGCAUUUGUGCUCGACAGUGGGGAGGGUGUGUGAGGUGUCUGGUGCCCAGUGUGACUGAGGGGGUCCCCUAGUGGGCAGCACCCCUCCUACACCAGCACGGGUAGGUAAGCGCUGACAAGUGUGGACAGGGCCCCAAACCGCAGCACGGACCCAACAGUGUGUAGCCUCAGAUGCGUUUCCAGGAAAUAUGAAAGAUGGAAAUAAAAUUCACUAAGUGUGCAACUCAAUACACUAGUAACAGAUAGCAAACGAAACACGGAAAGUGUAGAAGGAAGAAAUAAGAAAUGAUGGAAACAGAGGUAAUGAAAUCGAAAAGACAGACAAGCUUUGAUCAAUAAAACGGGUCUUUGUUCGGAGUUGUGGUGGGGAGCCUGAAUAGGAUGGUCUCCGCAGAUGAGGUUGGAAAGUCACUUAGAUUCCACCUCUAAAGUAGGACCGCAGGCCUUUUGGAUUUGCGAGUACUUUCUGCCAGAUCGUAGACAAAGACGGAAGUUCCCUAAAUAAUGGUGCUCGUCCAGGGCCACCUUGACCCACCAGGACUCGGUCUGAGAAGGUAGCAGAUGGCAGGGGCCUGACUGACAAGAAGCGGCUUAACCACGUGUGUGGUUGUAUUGAGCACACUUUUCAUUUUCUGUGAUUUACGAUGUUCCGGCAUCUUACAAACUCUGGCUUGGGAGGCUGGCCCCCCUGGGCCAGUGGUUCUCAGGGCAGAUGCAGGUCCCAGUGGAGUCCUGCCUUUGAUGUGCCUGCCGGCCAGCCCAGAGCCAGCCUGUGUGGACCAAGGAGGCAGUGCCUGAACCUCAUCAGCCCGGGGCCAGGUACCAGGCAGCUGGGGACAGCCCGGAGUUUCGAACCUGCUGGAAUUAUUCAAGCCUCUCUUGCAUCUCCUCUUGUGGCACACCGACUGGCAUCCCGUUGAAGAACACGACCAGUGGCUGGGGCAGUGACCCAGGGAUGUCAUGAGGGGACCUGCUUCAUGACCUCCUUCCUUGAACUUGCCCAGCUGCUCAUCUUGGAGCAUUUCACCCGCGUGAAAGCAGGGGGGCUUCUCCCUGUGACUCUUGGCCAGACUCGUCUCACGGACCCACCUGUAGCCGCAGGACAGGCUGGGAAUCAAUGUUCCAGAGGAGAAACACGGGACAGAGGAGAGGGAAUGAGCAGCCCCAGGAACACUGCAUCUUCUGGGAAGGCCCAAAGCCAACGUAGCCGGAUGGUGUUCUUCUCUGCCCUUUGUCACGUCUGGAUUGCUUGUGUGGGGUGACCAGCCGGCCCAGACACAUCCCCAGUGACGGUCAAGAAAUCGGGUUUCCAGUUCCUUGGGACCUGGGCGCUGCUCCCUACGGCUUCCCGUCCCUCCCCCAGAAGUGAGCACAGAUCGCAGACCACGGAGGACACGGGGAGAGCGUGCCGUCCACUCGCCCAGCAGAGGCCCCGCAGGGAGGCCUGCAUCUCGGGCUUCAGCCCCUGGGACGGUGAGGAGUAAACUCACGUUUCUAGAGCCGCCUGGUUUGUGGUAUUUUUUUCGCGGCCCCUGAAGACUCAGUCAGGGGCUGGGUGGGGGGCAGGGCAGGUCCGCCUCACCUCUGCCUUGCAGGGUCACUGUGGACAAGCCACCACCUCUCUGGUUUUCCUCCUUCGGCCCGACGACGGGACAAGUGCCCUGGGAAAAACCCGUAGCUGGUCUCUUCAAGAGCAGCGGGGUCCCGUCCAGUGGUCUGGAGGCCCCGUCACUGGCUGGCCCCUGCCCCUCCGUGGCCUGUGACUUCAUGGGACACGUACCGAGCCACACAGGUCCUCUGCCCUCGUCUUACGGGCACACUGGGUCGGCUCUCGGGCGCCAAUCUGCCUGCAGGAGACUCUGCACCAGGGGGCCCGGAGCUCUCAUGGAGGGCACACUCCCACCCCAGCUGGCCAGCCGCGAGGGACAGUGCCCAAGCCACCAGCAGCCGGGCAUCCACCGUGGCUCCAGAUCCGCCCACUUGUGGCCCAGAGACAGGGUUUACAAAGAGUUGCUAGAGAGGAGGUCUGUGCCUCUGCAUCCCAAAACCCACACGGUCACAGCCGCUGGCCUGCAGGGUUUUAGUGUCUUCUGGGUGGAUCAGGGCUCUGGUGGGGAGGCGUCAGCCUCUCUUUAGAGACCUCUGAGGACCUCGUUUACUGUCGCCUGGGUCUGGGCAGGUGUGACUUGGAAAUUCGCAAGGACCUUCCUGAGGACGUGUGCACGUGGAGACUGACCAGCCAAUUCCCAGACCCUUGGUCUUUCCUGAAGCUGAUCUACCCGGGAGCGUUGGUGAAGGGAUAAAGGGUUUCCGUUCUUCUCUUUUACAAACUCUGUCCUCCCACUUCGCUCCCAACCUCUUGUCUGUCCCACGUGCGGGCGCCCCGGGGUCUCGUGUGCAUCUGGGAAGGGGCGUGACGCGACAGCUGGGAGGCUCCUCCCUUCGUGUGUCAAGGAUUUGAAGUGUUUGCUUUCAACUCAGGAGAAAAAGAACUAACUGGGAUUUCUCCGGAAGGGCCCAUGGAUGAAGGAUUCCCUUCAUUCUUGUGUGUGGAGACGUGUUUUCCUGUGGCCUUGAUACUCAAGGGACCGCUUGGCUGGACAUAAAUUCUCACCUGUGCUCCCGCCCCCUCGGUUUUGGAGAAAUUCGACUCUGUGGUUGUCUCGUUUAGUCUGGCCAUGGUUGAAAGGCUUAAUCUAAUUCUUUGCCUUUUUAAUUUCUUUUGUUAAAAACAUGUUUAUUUAUUUAUUUAUUUAUUUCAACGUUUUUAUUUAUUUUUGGGACAGAGAGAGACAGAGCAUGAA